rnacentral:rRNA from 1 species
CGGGGCUUAAAGUCUUGUAAUUGGAAUGAUGGGAAUUUAAACCUCUUCCAGAGUAUCAAUUGGAGGGCAAGUCUGGUGCCAGCAGCCGCGGUAAUUCCAGCUCCAAUAGCGUAUAUUAAAAUUGUUGCAGUUAAAAAGCUCGUAGUUGAAUUUCUGCUGCAUUGCUUGUGUCCCUCUGGGGUCUGUGCAUGUGGCUUUUUUCGGACGGAGUUUCUUUGUCUGAAUGUUUACUUUGAGAAAAUUAGAGUGCUCAAAGCAGGCUUUCGCCUUGAAUAGUUUAGCAUGGAAUAAUAAAGUAGGACUUUGGUUCUAUUUUGUUGGUUUUAGGUACCAAAGUAAUGGUUAAUAGGAACAGUUGGGGGCAUUCGUAUUUAACUGUCAGAGGUGAAAUUCUUAGAUUUCUUAAAGACGAACUACUGCGAAAGCAUUUGCCAAGGAUGUUUUCAUUAAUCAAGAAC